UUAAGAGCUGUGUUAAAUGUUUAUGAACAGGCCGCGUCCACACUGCUUUUUGGGCUCCGAGUCGUGCACCGAACACUUUUACACGACGCCACGCGGCGGACGACGUUCGGUGGACGCGCUCACACUUAAGCGCCAAGAUGGAUCAAACUAAAGGGACAGACACAAUUAAGUAAUUUCGCCCACUUGGACUAAUCCGCCUUCUAGAAUUAAGAGUUCCAUACUGGAAGAUAUGAUGUCUAUCAAGUGAAAUAUUUAAUAAAUCUAAUAUUUUGAUAGAAUUCUACGAGUUUAUGUAACAAUGGGAUAGGUAGUUUUUGUUACAACAUUCUUGACAAAACUAACGUUUUUUUACAUGUAUAUGUUAUACCAUUGUGUAACAUAAUUAAUAUUUUGAAAUUAAGAAGUUGUUUUAUUACUUCAUUGAAUUCAAUUGGAUGUGCACCUUUAUUGUACCUAUUGUUACAGAUUAAAAUUGCCAGAACAUUGUUGUGUAUUGUUAUGGGUAAUUUAUAAUAGUAACAUGGUAUGGUAAUAAUAAUAAUCAGAGACCAUGAACGAUAUUGGGCUUAGUGAAUGAGAUUUUCAAAAUUUAAUGUUUGUAAUACAGAAACGACUCUCAUGAUAUUACAUGUUAUAAGUGCAGCUGAAUAAUAUUUGGUGGUAAUCGGUUUCUCUGGCGUCGUUUUUUGUAUUUUGAGCAUUGGACUGCACUGGUUUGAUUGUGCCUGAAAAAACUCAUUAAUGCCGCUCCAAACCUCAAAAUUAUGUAUUUGAAUACUUUAUAACUUUAGUGUUAUGUCAACUUGUGUUGACCAAUUAUACUCUCAGGGAGUGAUAACAUUAUUCAGGAUUGGCUAAGUUUUAUUUUUUGAUGGGGAAAUGAGCUAUUGUGUGAGGUCAUAGUGUCUAAAAUAGUACAAAUGAGAAGACUUAUUGUGGUAAGGCUCGGACUAUUCAACAUUGCAAAUGCUAGGUUUGAGAUGUAUCCCUGUGUACUAGUUUUAUUUUGUACUAAAAGUUAAAAUAAAUUAAUAAUUAUACUCA